GGGACUGUAGCUCAGUGGUAGAGCCUCUGCUUUGGAUGCAGAAGGUCCCAGGUUCAAUCCCCAGCAGCUCCA